rnacentral:lncRNA from 1 species
UGAGUAUUACAUACUUAUUGCCUCUGAUGGAUAGAUAUGUUGUUUCUUUGCAGGUUUUAAAGAAGCACGGGUGGAACUCCUUUCAGCAAUGAAUUUGAGUCUAGAUGGAGAAUGAGAAAAGGUAGCACACAAAGUGACUUGCUAAUGCACAACAGCCUCAAGGAAGCUAAAAGUUUGAGAAUCAGCUUAGAAGUUUCUAUGUGAAAAGAAAACAGGAAGUCAUUCCAGCAGCAGCAGCCUCUGCUCCACUCUUCGUCUUGCUCACACUCCAUGCUGCCAAAUGGAAACUAAGGUGUUCAGGGAAUGGGGCAUACUUCCACAAAUUCCAUUUUAAAAUGGAUUGAUCAAGAAGUCCUUCCUCGGGUUAACCCUUACAUGGUGUUAAGAAGAAUUUCACCAAGUGGAUCUCAUUAUCACAGACCCAUUGAGAUUGGAAGCUUCCUUCCUCAAAGGAACAAUGCACUGUUAUGUGAAGACUGGUGGAUCUCUAGUCGGCUGCUGCUGAGAUACAGAAAGCAUGAACUAAAUCCUGAUGAUUUGGGGGAUCUAUUGGCAUACAACAAUUUUGUCCUUAUAAAGGAAAGCAUCAAAGUAGAACUUGAUUACAGUAUCAGAGACUUGGUGCGCUAUCAUCAUGGCAGAAAGCAUGGGGGCACGUAGGCAGACAUGGUGCUGGAGGAGCUGAGAGUUUUACAUAUGAAUCUGCAGGCAACAAGAAGAGACACUGGGCCUGGCUUGAGUCCUUAAGCCUCAGAGACAUACUUCCUCCAAUUAGGCCACACCUUUUAAUACCUGUAAGUAGCAAUAACCCCUAGUGAUCAAUCAUUUAAAUCAUGAGCUCAGGAGCCAUUUUUUAAACUACAUCAUCAAUAUAAACAACUGC